AUCGCCGGGUCGCCUGUUCAUUCUUUAUUCUCUCGUAGUAGAGCCAUAGUAGAGUAAAGCACGUGUCGUAAAACCUUGUUGUCACAGUUUCUCCAUGGCUAUUUUAUUGUUUUUAUUGGAUGUUUUGAUUUUGUAUUUUUUGGAUUCGAUUUUCUUAGUGUGUAGUGUCGGUUUAGUGUUUAUUUUGAUUACUUUUUAUUUAAAAACUAUAAAACAGGUUCGUCAGUGCCAAAUUUGUAAGAAAUUGGACUAUUUAAGUCCUGGAACAACAUUCCACAGAUUAUGCUGCCAAAGUUUCCUGAAUACAAUUCCGACCACUCUGUAUAUCAAGAUAUCCCCCAUUACGUACUAGUUUUUCUUAAUAAUUUUCUAUACAUUUUCCAACGCCAAGAUGUACCAAGCGCAUACAAAUACAUCAAGCUUCAAACAAGCUUGCACGUUGACAGUAAUACCUACAGUAAUAUUGUAUUAUAUUAAUGUAAUAUUUUUGAACCAAUGUUCAAUAUUACUGUAGUAAUACUGUUUAUACUCAUGCCUUUUAUAUUUGUUUGAAUUUGGUGCAUAUUUCCAUUGAAUAAAGUAUAGUCACCAUUACCAUUAUUAUACUUACUCUAUAAUAAAGACAGUAACGAGUUAAA
rnacentral:lncRNA from 1 species